GAUGAAGAACGUAGCGAAAUGCGAUAAGUAAUGUGAAUUGCAGAAUUCAGUGAAUCAUCGAAUCUUUGAACGCACAUUGCGCCCCUUGGUAUUCCGAGGGGCAUGCCUGUUCGAGCGUCAUUACACCACUCAAGCACUGCUUGGUAUUGGGCACUCGUCCGUCGAAAGACGGGCGUGCCUCGAAGACCUCGGCGGGGUUUCUCCAACUUCGGGCGUAGUAGAGUUAAAUCAAAACGUCUUAUAAGCUUGGUGAAAUCUCAUUGCCGUUAAACCCUUUUUUUUUCAGGUUGACCUCGGAUCAGGUAGGGAUACCCGCUGAACUUAAGCAUAUCAAUAAGCGGAGGA
rnacentral:misc_RNA from 1 species